UCCGUAGGCGGUGCGGCAAGUCGGGAGUGAAAUCUCUGGGCUUAACUCAGAGGCUGCUUCCGAAACUGCCGUGCUCGAGUGUGAGAGAGGCGAGUGGAAUUGCGGGUGUAGCGGUGAAAUGCGUAGAUAUCCGCAGGGACAUCCGAGGCGAAAGCGGCUCGCUGGAUCACAACUGACGCUGAGGGACGAAAGCUAGGGGAGCAAACAGGAUUAGAUACCCUGGUAGUCCUAGCCCUAAACCAUCAGGACUUGGGGUUUGCCCUGUACGGGGCAAGUCCCCGGAGCUAACGCGUUAAGUCCUGCGCCUGGGGAGUACGGUCGCAAGGCUGAA
rnacentral:rRNA from 1 species